CCCUGUCUGUCUUUGCUGAUAGUUCCUUCAGGUCCCAGCUUCCCUUUCUUUGCUGAUAGUUCCUUCAGGUCCCAGCUUCCCUGUCUGUCUUUGCUGAUGGUUCCUUCAGGUCCCAGCUUCCCUGUCUGUCUUUGCUGAUGGUUCCUUCAGGUCCCAGCUUCCCUGUCUUUGCUGAUGGUUCCUUCAGGUCCCAGCUUCCCUGUCUGUCUUUGCUGAUGGUUCCUUCAGGUCCCAGCUUCCCUGUCUGUCUUUGCUGAUGGUUCCUUCAGGUCCCAGCUUCCCUGUCUGUCUUUGCUGAUGGUUCCUUCAGGUCCCAGCUUCCCUGUCUGUCUUUGCUGAUGGUUCCUUCAGGUCCCAGCUUCCCUGUCUGUCUUUGCUGAUGGUUCCUUCAGGUCCCAGCUUCCCUGUCUGUCUUUGCUGAUGGUUCCUUCAGGUCCCAGCUUCCCUGUCUGUCUUUGCUGAUGGUUCCUUCAGGUCCCAGCUUCCCUGUCUGUCUUUGCUGAUGGUUCCUUCAGGUCCCAGCUUCCCUGUCUUUGCUGAUGGUUCCUUCAGGUCCCAGCUUCCCUGUCUUUGCUGAUGGUUCCUUCAGGUCCCAGCUUCCCUGUCUUUGCUGAUGGUUCCUUCAGGUCCUGUCUCCUUAUGUUCUGUCCCUCUGUUGCCCACUGUCCAACAGGCACCCAUUAUGUAAAUACAAGCUCAUUUUCUACAUUGGCAUCUUCUAAGGCCUCUGUCAUACUACAUGUCAAGUGGAUAGGUCUUGAUCACUUUCUUUCAAGAAGGAAGUUUGUCCCUGUCUUCCCCAU